CCUACGGGUGGCAGCAGUAGGGAAUCUUUCACAAUGGUCGAAAGCCUGAUGGAGCAACGCCGCGUGCAGGAUGACAGCCUUCGGGUUGUAAACUGCUUUUAUAAGCGAGAAAUAUGAUGGUAACUUAUGAAUAAGGAUCGGCUAACUACGGGCCAGCAGCCGCGGUCAUACGUAGGAUCCGAGCAUUAUCCGGAGUGACUGGGUGUAAAGAGUUGCGUAGGUGGCAUAAUAAGUAGCUAGUGAAAUCUGGUGGCGCAACAAUUCAGACUAUUAGCGAAACUGUUGAGCUCGAGACCGUUAGGGGUAACUGGAAUUUCUAGUGUAGGAGUGAAAUCCGUAGAUAUUAGAAGGAACACCAAUCGCGAAGGCAGGUUGCUGGGACGGUUCUGACACUAAGGCACGAAAGCGUAGGGAGCAAACGGGAUUAGAUACCCGAGUAGUC
rnacentral:rRNA from 1 species